CACGUAGGGUGCGAGCGUUGUCCGGAAUUAUUGGGCGUAAAGAGCUCGUAGGCGGUGUGUCGCGUCGGCCGUGAAAACCUGCAGCUUAACUGUGGGCUUGCGGUCGAUACGGGCAUCACUGGAGUUCGGCAGGGGAGACUGGAAUUCCUGGUGUAGCGGUGAAAUGCGCAAAUAUCAGGAGGAACACCGGUGGCGAAGGCGGGUCUCUGGGCCGAUACUGACGCUGAGGCGCGAAAGCGUGGGGAGCGAACAGG
rnacentral:rRNA from 1 species